GACGAACGCUGGCGGCGUGCUUAACACAUGCAAGUCGAACGGAAAGGCCCUGCUUUUGUGGGGUGCUCGAGUGGCGAACGGGUGAGUAACACGUGAGUAACCUGCCCUUGACUUUGGGAUAACUUCAGGAAACUGGGGCUAAUACCGGAUAGGAGCUCCUGCUGCAUGGUGGGGGUUGGAAAGUUUCGGCGGUUGGGGAUGGACUGGCGGCUCAUCAGCUUGUUGGUGGGGUAGUGGCUUACCAAGGCCUUGACGGGUAGCCGGCCUGAGAGGGUGACCGGACACAUUAGGACUGAGAUACGGCCCAGACUCCAACGGGAGGCAGAGGUGGGGAAUAUUGCACAAUGGGCGGAAGCCUGAUGCAGCAACGCCGCGUGCGGGAUGACGGGCUUCGGGUUGUAAACCGCUUUCGCCUGUGACGAAGCGUUAGUGACGGUAAUGGGUAAAGAAGCACCGGCUAACUACGUG
rnacentral:rRNA from 1 species